rnacentral:snRNA from 1 species
GUGCUUGCUUCAGCAGCACGUAUACUAAAAUUGGAACAAUACAGAGAUUAGUGUGGCCCCUGUGCAAGGAUGACAUGCAAAUUUGUGAAGCGUUUCAUAUUUUU